rnacentral:rRNA from 1 species
GAUGAACGCUAGCGGCAGGCCUAAUACAUGCAAGUCGAGGGGUACGGGAGAGCUUGCUUUCCCUGAGACCGGCGCACGGGUGCGUAACGCGUAUGCAACCUACCCUGUACUGGGGGAUAGCCCGGAGAAAUUCGGAUUAAGACCCCAUAGUAUAUAUCAUUCGCAUGUUUGGUAUAUUAAAGGUUACGGUACAGGAUGGGCAUGCGUCCUAUUAGCUAGAUGGUGAGGUAACGGCUCACCAUGGCGACGAUAGGUAGGGGGCCUGAGAGGGUGGUCCCCCACACUGGUACUGAGACACGGACCAGACUCCUACGGGAGGCAGCAGUGAGGAAUAUUGGUCAAUGGGCGCAAGCCUGAACCAGCCAUGCCGCGUGCAGGAAGAAGGUCCUAUGGAUUGUAAACUGCUUUUAUUUGGGAAUAAACCUCUUUACGUGUAGAGAGCUGAAGGUACCAAAUGAAUAAGCACCGGCUAACUCCGUGCCAGCAGCCGCAGUAACAC